GAAGGUACAGCUCAGUGGUAGAGCGCAUACAUGCACAAGGUCCUGGGUUCAAUUCCCAGUACCUCCA
rnacentral:tRNA from 1 species